CCUACGGGAGGCAGCAGUGAGGAAUAUUGGUCAAUGGCCGGAAGGCUGAACCAGCCAUGCCGCGUGAAGGUCAGUGCCCUAUGGGCGUUAAACUUCUUUUGUGCGGGAGCAAUAUUGGUCACGUGUGGCCAGACGAGAUUACCGUACGAAUAAGCAUCGGCUAAAUCCGUGCCAGCAGCCGCGGUCAUACUGGGGGUGCGAGCGUUAUCCAGAUUUAUUGGGUUUAAAGGUUGCGUUGGCUGUGAGGGUAUUCAGCGGGGAAAUGCCCCCGCUCAACGGGGUGAAGUGCCAUUGAUACUGUCUUGCUGGAAUGCGAAUGCGGUGGGAGGAAUGUGUGGUGUAGCGGUGAAAUGCAUAGAUAUCACACAGAACACCGAUUGCGAAGGCAUCUAACGAGUCCGCGAUUGACGCUGAUGCACGAAAGCGUGGGUAUCAAACAGGAUUAGAUACCCGAGUAGUC
rnacentral:rRNA from 1 species